rnacentral:lncRNA from 1 species
ACAGAGAAGGGAAAGCAGAGGGGCAGAGAGACAGAGAAGGAAACAAAGAGACUUUAUUAAAACCAAACAUCGUGGAGGCAGCUGCCUGCCCGCAGAGGUCAGAGUCAGGUGGUGUCCUGGACUCCUGGCCCAACCACACAGAAAUGCGAGUCCCACCUCACAGCUCCGGGGCUGUGGCUCCCCAGCGCUCUCCAGGGUCAGGCGCGUUGGGUCACGCCUGUAAUCCCAGCACUUUGGGAGGCCAAGGAGGGUGGAUCACCUAUCAGGAGUUCGAGACCAGCCUGGCCAACAGAGUGAAACCCCAUCUCUAUCAAAAAUACAAAAAAAUUAGCCAGGUGUAGUGGCUUGCACCUGUAAUCCCAGCUACCCAGGAAGCUGAGGCAGGAGAAUUGCUUGAACCCGGGAGGUGGAAGUUGCAGUGAGCCAGGAUCGCACCACUGCGCUCCAGCCUGGACAACAGAGCAAGACUCCAUCUCAAAAAAAAAAAAAAAAAAAAAAAGGAAGAAAAUAUAACAGUCCUCUAUGUCCCCUGUACCUAUAUAGAAUAGAUGUGGACAUUUUGCCA